rnacentral:rRNA from 1 species
GAUUAUGGCUCAGAGCGAACGCUGGCGGCAGGCCUAACACAUGCAAGUCGAGCGGCCGUAGCAAUACGGCAGCGGCAGACGGGAGAGUAACACGUGGGAACGUACCCUUCAGUUCGGAACAACCCAGGGAAACUUGGGCUAAUACCGGAUACGCCCUUACGGGGAAAGAUUUAUCGCUGAAGGAUCGGCCCGCGUCUGAUUAGCUAGUUGGUGGGGUAAUGGCCCACCAAGGCUACGAUCAGUAGCUGGUCUGAGAGGAUGAUCAGCCUCACUGGGACUGAGACACGGCCCAGACUCCUACGGGAGGCAGCAGUGGGGAAUAUUGGACAAUGGGCGCAAGCCCUGAUCCAGCCAUGCCGCGUGGGUGAUGAAGGCCUUAGGGUUGUAAAGCCCUUUCGGCGGGGAAGAUAAUGACGGUACCCGCAGAAGAAGCCCCGGCUAACUUCGUGCCAGCCGCCGC